rnacentral:rRNA from 1 species
UGGGGAAUUUUGGACAAUGGGCGCAAGCCUGAUCCAGCCCUGCCGCGUGUCUGAAGAAGGCCUUCGGGUUGUAAAGGACUUUUGUCAGGGAAGAAAAGGCUGUCGCUAAUACCGACAGCUGAUGACGGUACCUGAAGAAUAAGCACCGGCUAACUACGUGCCAGCAGCCGCGGUAAUACGUAGGGUGCGAGCGUUAAUCGGAAUUACUGGGCGUAAAGCGAGCGCAGACGGUUACUUAAGCAGGAUGUGAAAUCCCCGGGCUCAACCUGGGAACUGCGUUCUGAACUGGGUGACUAGAGUGUGUCAGAGGGAGGUAGAAUUCCACGUGUAGCAGUGAAAUGCGUAGAGAUGUGGAGGAAUACCGAUGGCGAAGGCAGCCUCCUGGGAUAACACUGACGUUCAUGCUCGAAAGCGUGGGUAGCAAACAGGAUUAGAUACCCUGGUAGUCCACGCCCUAAACGAUGUCAAUUAGCUGUUGGGCAACUUGAUUGCUUAGUAGCGUAGCUAACGCGUGAAAUUGACCGCCUGGGGAGUACGGUCGCAAGAUUA